rnacentral:tRNA from 1 species
GUCUCAAUGGUUCAACUUGGUAGACACAACAGGUUUAAGCCCUGUAAAAGUGAGGGUUUGACCCCCUCUUGAGAUACCA